rnacentral:rRNA from 1 species
UACGAGGGGGGCGAGCGUUGUUCGGAAUUAUUGGGCGUAAAGGGUGCGUAGGCGGUUUGGUAAGUCUUGUGUGAAAUCUACAGGCUCAACUUGUAGUCUGCACGAGAAACUGCCGGGCUUGAGUAUGGGAGAGGUGAGUGGAAUUCCUGGUGUAGCGGUGAAAUGCGUAGAUAUCAGGAGGAACACCUGUGGCGAAAGCGGCUCACUGGGUCUCUUCUGACGCUGAGGCACGAAAGCUAGGGUAGCGAACGGG